GAUCCGAGUGAUACUGCGCAGAAAAUCAAUCUUUGCAAAAUAUUCAGAGGACUAGAAGAAUGGAAUCUGACCAACUUUUUACAGGAAAUAUUUAUUCAAGAAGAGAAACAGAAGACAGAGUUUAUCCAGAAAGUAUUCCAACGAAUCCAAGAGGAAGGUUUGAAAACCAAAUUAGAUAUUUCAAUCCUGCUCCAGGAGCUAAAUAUAUCAGGGUUUGAUUCUGUUCGAAUCCAGGAGAAGCUUCGAGGUUCGGAAUCUUCUCCAGUUGAUCUGAAUGAACUAAGACGACAG